rnacentral:lncRNA from 1 species
GGGGGGGGGGGGGGGGUGUUGGAGGUUGGAAGGCAAACGGAGAAAAACUAUUCCAGAGCAUUAAACAACAGAAGCCCCGAACUAAAUUAAACCCCCGCCAGCGUACCCGUGAGUGUGAGUCGUGCCGAUAUGGAUAAGGUAGCAGCAGCUUGCCCUUCUGCCUGCGCUCUUGGUCCACCGGCUGAAGCCUGAAUGAGCGCUGGCCCGGUCAUGCGAGCUUCCACAUCGGUGUCCACUGUCCUGGUGUUGGACAUGGACCGGUGGAGUGGUGGUACCACAUCACUGGACGACGCAACACUUGCAGAAGUUGCAGUCGUCGUUUUCGGACGACUUCUCCCGGUCUCCGGUCGUUGUCAUGUGUUCUACACGUCUUUUAAGUUAACAAGACUGAAUUUUACUAAAAAUUAUACUCUCGACAAUUUUAAAUGCCCAUGCUAUUUCUGCCAUGGAGUCGCAUCCAUUAAGUGGAUUAGCAUUGAGAUAAUCGCACAGAAAAUUCGAAGAUAAGUUUUGUUGCGUCUAGACUUGACUGUGACUACAGCAAGAAACAGUACUAAAGCAUUGUUGGAAAUGGAAUGUUCCAAGGUAUCAAAAAAAGAUGGCUGCGAACAAUGAACGGCAUCCAACGCAGUCAUUCCACUACGGUUGCUUAUAAGCAAUCUGGGAUGCCGACUUGUGCUCAUAUACUUUGAAGUUAUAGAGUCUACGACUUAGGCAGCGGGCAAUACAUUUUUUGUUAACCAUUUCUCGGCGAACUCAAAUGUAACUUCCCAUUUGUUUUGCUUCUCUAUCAAGACUGAGCUACCCCUAAAAGAAGACUGAAAUUGUUGUGCUGCACUUUGCGCUUUUUCCGCACAAGUUUUUGAGGGAACUAGUUGUAAACCAGUACUAUUGGAACAUGAAGUGAUUUGUCCAUAUUUUUUCGUCAACUUAAACUUUUGGUUGAACUGAUCCAUCCAUGUAUGCAACUUGAUGCAUAGCAAAAUUAGAGCAGGAAAAGCAACCACUCCAAUUCACUUCUGAUCCCUCUCAAUUUUGUUAGCCAAUUCUUCGUAAGAAUAUGACAUCAAAGCCAAUAUAUAUGGUGAUCAUUAGACAUAAAGGACAAUGAUAUACCUCAACAUAAUAAAAAAAAUCGAGUGAUCCUAGUCAACAAAGGACAACAGUGAAUGCCAUACACGCCUAGGAUACGUCAUACUAUUUUUUAUGGCACAUGGUACAUGGCUACCAAUGCAAGAGCACUUUUGGUCUGAAUUGAACCAUUAUAUUGUAGUAUCUUCCUUUCUUCUAUUGUGUACCAUACAAAGGCGCAAGCACUAGCUAGAGGGGUUAACUAGAAUAACCAGGAUAUAGUGAGAUGGUGCCCGUGUUGCACUUAAAGGCUUUCUCUUACCUUUUUGUGCCCCUUCCACAACCCAUCCCACCAUUAUCUUCAUUCAUGAAAGGUGCUGACGCCGGGUGCGUGUGGAAGCCAUUCCAGUGCGUAGCCAUCGUUUCUUCAAACAGCAAAAGGAAGAAGUCGCGCAUGUUUCUGCUCUAUCGUUUGACGACAAACCUUGUACCUACCGGUAACAUGUAAACUGUAAUGCACGCAUAAAAACAUCACGUGUGUCCUCUGAGAUUUAUGUAGGUUUGAAUACAAAUAAGAUAAUUUUACAAACUCGUGACACUACAAAUCCGCUUAAAGAAUAUUUGCGGUAUUAUGAUGAGUAAGUACUCCCUCCAUUAAAAAAUGAUAGACAUUUUUUGACAGGGGAAAGGUCUUCCGAAGUAAAUUUUAAAACUUGAUUUCUCUUGCAAUAUAAUAUCAAAUGUCAAAGACUCAAUAUAAUCUCAUAACCACUUUGAAAAAAUAUAUUGAUGCAAAGUUUAUGCACUGAAUGUACAUGUAAUCUAACUAAUUAUUCAUCAAAACUUCUAUAUUUUUCUUGCUUUUCUCAAUCAAAAUAGGUCUUAUAUUUCUGAAAAUAGGGAGUAGUAACUACAAGUUCAAUGAUAAUUUUACAUAAUUAUAUCAACUUUCACCCGAUACCAAAAACUACAACUUACUAAAACAUACUCCCUCUAGUCGCAUUUAUUUAUUAUUCUGACAAGAAUCAUCUUCAACAAUUUGAACUAACUUGGAUAAGUAUACUUUAAACCCCAAAAUAUUCAAGGUUGACUACUUAACCCCGGAACUAUCCAAAACCAUUUAAAUAACUUCCCUACAUCGGUUGUAUAGGUGGUUUUGUCUAUACGGCAUUACAUGUGGACUGCGAUGUGGUGACAAUUACAUUUUAAAUAAUUUCAAGGUACCAUUAAUGUUACCUAAACGCUAAACAAUCGAUCACCUACCUACCGUUUAGCUCUUUAUUCAUUCUAAACGGCCAAUUAAAUGGGUUAAACAGCCAUUAAACAGCUAACAGGUGAUUUAACGAGCACGGCUAAGCACUAUGUAAACAGGCUAAACGGCUGUGUGCGCGGAUACUGGCCAUACAUGUAACGUGUAGGCAAUCACCAAAUUAUUACUAGCGACAAGGUGAGAGCAGUGGCAUUGAUCUGCUACAAAUGUGAGAUUAACAUGGAAACAUCAUUGGUUUAUGUUCUCACCACAUCACCAUCCACGUGUAUUGGUAUUGCCAUAUAGGCAAAACCACCUCUAAAACCGUUGCAGAGGGUUAUUUAGACGGUUUUGUUGGAUAGUUUAGGAGGGCUAGGUACCUGGUUUCAUAGGUGAAGGGUUAAUUAGCAUCGAAUAGGUGAUGGAGUGAAGUAGACUUACUCCAACGUUCCUUUGGUUCGAAUGACAAUUAAAUCCCACCAGAGGUAGUAAUAGUUAGCUCGUGUACCCCCACUUGUAAUACAAUCGGGAAUGUGUCCCACAACAUAGUUGUAAUUCCUUGUUACAAGAGCAAUAUAUGGCCGGUUCAUGUUAUAUGAGAUGAUGAGAACAAAGUAGCUAUGCAUGGCAAGCAAAUGGAGAUUUUUUUUCUCAGUACUACUAUAAAUGUACAUGGCGUUAGUAUAUAAGACGACAUGGUCCAGCAUGUAAGUGAUAAUAUGGCAAUUCUCGAUGUAAGUUUCAUUCCCAUAAAUAAAGUGGCACGUAGGCAAAUAGGGUAACAUGACAUUUAGAGUUAUGAAAAGACAGAAAAUGAGUUUAAUCUAGAGGAAACUUGGUUCCCACAGUUUCCAACGGAGUUAAACUCUUACACACCUGUCAGUGAAAGCUAAAGUUUUAUUUUAUUGAUCACAUGUUUACAUACUUCCACGUCAUGCAUGAAUUGCUUAUAAUGACUGCCUAUAAAAUAAAGGAUGCGGCUAAAGCCAAUCUCAAUGGUAGUUUCAUGGAGAGUUUCAUGAGCAUUAAUUUUCAUGCCAUAUCAAUAAUUUUGCUGACUUGGCAAUAUAUUUAUGAGGAAGGAGGAGGAGUUUCAUCAUACGUGGGAGAAGUUUCAUCCCGUGAAACUCAACAGGCACAGCUACCUAGUUCCCGAUCUUGAUAACUGUGCAGUGAAACUGUAGCUGUAAAUUAGCCCAUCUGCACGGCCGACCUUAAUUAGGAAACCACCUAAUUAAGGGACUUCCCUUUUUAGCAUAUUAGCCAUUCUGGUACCUCUGGCCGACAGAACCCACAGGAAGCAGAGGAAGGCAUGCUGUGCAGCACUUCAGGCACCAAAAACUAGCUAUACUCUAUCUAUAUAAGAAAAACACAGGUACAUAGGAAAAUGGUGCACACAUAGUAUUUAACACAGACAAAUUUGCUUUCCACUAGAAUAGCAACUUCACAAUUUUGUUUUGCAGAUAAAAGUGCCCUACCCUAAAAUAAAAAUGAACAAUACUUUGCCUAACUAAUAAAAUUACUUUGCCCAACAAUUUUAAGUAUUUGCAUUCUGUGCACAUAACCAUGACCUGCAAAUGCAAUGAUCAUAACUAAUUUAGAUCUUGCAAGCACUAAUUCUGAUCUACACACAACAUUAUGAUAUUGUGUACUCGCAUUAUACACAAGCAAAAAAGAUCUUCACCAACGAAGACUGCACAUUUGCUUCUCUUCCCGACCACUUCAUGACCUACGUUUAAGAAAGAACAUAAUGCAUAAUUAGAGAAAAGCGCGGACUAAUGAUGAAUACUUUGCAGGCUUCAAUUGAAAUUCCCUUGAAGUGGAAUAGACGGAAUAGAUGGAUUCGAGUUAGAACAUAAAUUCAGUAGAUUUGGGCCAAAAACUUUCAGUUGCAGGAGCAGUCCAUGCAUCAUUAAACACUCUACUCGAUAGCCAUUUCAUAUCAUACUUUGAAAUGCUGCAAGCUAAAAUUUUUUUUCAUUUUCAAUACGCUAAAAUGAUGGUUGGGAUGAACCAAGAACAUAAAAACUAUUGACAGCAUACUGACACUUAACCACUGGAAACUUGUGAGAUGCCCAGGAUACCUUUUCAGUUUUAUGAGAAGAAAUUGUGAGAACAAAAUGUAGGUAGAGCAGAUAUAGAUAUUGUAAAAAUUUUGAUGGUGACUCCAAAGGAAGCAGAGAAGGCCAGAUGUGGAGACAAAUAGGGACAUGUGCCAAAUUGAAAUGAAUUGAAAGGAAAUAGCAAAUGCAAGCACAACAAUUUAUUCAGGUAGCUGCUCCCCUGCAUGAUGCAUCGACUAUUGCAACUGAAUCAAGUGAAAGAGUAAGCCCAGUAGAUGUAGCCGAUAGUAUAGUACCUUCUGAUGACCUGCAGCACGGGAUCAUCAAUCUUGCUCUGGAGCCAUGGCAGAGAGCCAGUCUUGGCGAGAUUAGAACCCAUUUCAACUUGUUCUACAAAACCCAAAAAAGGGACACACCAAAUAAUCAAGAACAUGUAGUACACUAAAAAAAAGGUUAGAUCAGAGAAAAAGAACUGGCUUUUGUACAUAGUACCAGUACAGGUAGUUAUUUGUGAGUCACUACUGAAAGCAAGCAACUGAAAAGGAAUUGUGGAAAACGAUCAAUGAAAAGUUACCAAAUGAAGUAUAUAGUUUUACAUAAUCCAUAACCAUAUUAUUACCUAUUCUUGUCCAUAUUAUUGCCAAAUUCAGAGCCAUAGUAUUUGCUAACUAGAACCAUAUUAUUGCCUUGUGACGUACAUUGUUUUGCCUAGUUCAGUAGCAUAUUAUUGCCUAAUAAAUUACAAGGAGUCAUUUUCUACUGGACCUAAAAUAAAAUAACCUUGGUGCCUACAAUUGCAUGUAUGCUUGUACCUGCUGCAGCUUUGCCUACUAUAGCAUAUUAUUGCCUAAUGAGGUACAUAGUUUUGAAUUAUAUUCAGAAGCAUAUUAUAUAAUUCAUAGCCAUAUUAUUGCACAUUGAACUCUCUUGUUUUGCAUAAAUCCAAACCUCAUAUAAAAUUGCUUACUCUUGUCCAUAUCAUUCUCUAAUUUAGUAUCAAAAAGAUUCAACAAAAAUGCAAUGCUGCAAAGGAUUGGUAGGACUUCAGGAAUGAUGAUGAUAAGGAAUGGAGGAGAUUAUUGUCACACUAGAAGUACCAAAAAAGGUCAGCGGGCUGUGGCGGGACCCAACACUACCAAAGACUUCUAAUUUACCUAGGGUUACCAAUACUACAGUCCUACUCCUAGUGUUGUUAUUUCUAUCGUUACAUAUACACCAACUAACCUUACUGCAAUAUUAUUACCUAUUGAAAAAUAUCUAAUGAGAACCAAAUUAUAAAUUCAUAUAUGAUAGUACAACACUACAGUAGAGCUAGCAAACACAGGGGACAACUUGAGAACAUGUGUGACCGCUCAACCGUUGUUGACAACCACCGCACAUUAUUUGCCCAAAAAAAAUAUUAUUUUGCCUAACGAACAACAGUAAUUUGCUUAAGUAAUAAAAAUGAUUUGCCUAUCUAAGAAAAAUACUUUCCUGGUUGAGAAUAGUUCGUUGGCUACCUAAGAAUGACACUUUGCCUAAAAUGAUGAUAAUACUUUUGCCUAACUAGGAGUAACAAUAUUGACUAACAGGAACACAAUUUUUAUGACACGAACUAGGACAUUCUACUGGAAUUUAAAUUCUGAAUGCAACAGCUAAUGCUAGGAACAAAAGGACACUAUAGAUGAACUUAAUAUAUUAUGCAUGCCUAGGUAAAAGAAAAACUUCAUUACAACCGUUCACAAAAAAAAAUAAACAAGAGUGUAGUUGGUUCACUGUAAUGCUUAUAUAUAUCCAGAUCACAACAUGUCAUGAAUUUGAAGGCCAUGGCAUUUUAGGAAAACUGGAGAUCAGAGCGUACUUUUGCUUGUCAGCUCGAGUCCAUGCAGCAAAGAGAAAGACAGUAAAAGUUUAUUUUCAUUCUUUGGGUUGCAAUCUCCAUUAUUCACCAACUUUGAGGGGCUUACCAGAUUCAGUCUAACAUAUGACUAACAUGAACAUUAUUGUGCUAAAAAGUAGAGCAAAAAAGGAUGGUGGGUGUUAUCCUACAAUCUUUCACUAAACUCAAACGACAUCUCCUUGUAUCACCAUAGGACGUAUGGUACAAUGUAAAUGACUGUUAGCAUGGUUAAUUAACCUAAAAUAGAUCUCAAACUAUCCACUAUACCAUCCAAUGCCAACUCGAUGGAAAUUAAACACCAGCGUAUCACGUGGUUCGUACAAACAAAGGUAACAAUUCUAUAUCGUUGAAAAUCUCACAUGCCUACGCAGCUUAAGGUCCCCGCUGCUAACUGGAAGAGACAGGAAGAAAAAAUGAAAAAAAAAAAGAUGGGGACUAGCACGGGGCAGCCAGCAUCCGUACCACAUCCCAGCGUCGCAGUGAUGUGUUUGUAGAUGUUGAAGAAACGGUAGCUCUCGGCAAGCACCGCCACGUCGCCUGAGCGCUCCGUGGUCAAGCACACGCUGGGGCCAUGCAGCGGCUCGAGCUUCGCUACCUUGAUGGGAGCCGCCGCGCGCGCCCUGGUCGAGUGCCGCCACGCGCGCCCUUGCGGGGUCCACCGUUCCCUCGUCGGGGGCUGCUGGGUGCGCCCUCGUGGGGCCGCUGGGCGUAUUCGCUUUAGCUUAUAAGUCGGCAGAAAAGUUGAAACAGUUGAUUUAUUGUGUGAGAAAAAUAUUGUUUGGUGGCUGAUAAUCUGGCUGAAUAAGCUGAAGCGAACAGGCCCGCUGCCACGCGUCCCGCCGGGGGCCGACGCGUGCGUCCUCGCGGGGACCGCCGCUCCCUUGUCGGGGGCUGCCGCGUGCUCCAUCGUGGGGCCGCCGCAGCGCGCCCUCGCGGGGGGCGCCGCUCUCCCUCGCCGGGUGGCCGCCGUUCUCCCUCGUCGGGGGCUGCCGCGUGAGCCGCUCAUAGGAGAUAGAGAGAGAGGUGAAAAGAUAAGAGUGAAUCUACGUGGACGGCAGAUCGACGUGGCCACGCAGUUGAACAAAAUUACAACCGGUUGGAAAGAAGUCAUUACCUAAAAUAAAAUCUGCAUUAUAGAUGUUGUUUUAUUUAGGGUUUCAUUUCACUCUAGAUAUUUAUUAUUUUAAAAAGUAAUGGAACAAAACUAGCUACUAAGAUUGAUCUAUAAGAGAUAAAACGGUCGAAGGGUGGUAUGAUAUCCUUAGCACAACCACCGUCCCACAGCUCCAUUUCACUUUCACAAGACACCCAUCGGGCCAUCGGCAAUGGCGGUAUCUCUUGCUCGUCCGGCCGUCCCCAAGACCAAGAGCCCAAGACAUGCCGUCGUCGACCCAACCCAGUACUCCCUCUACUCUGACAAGCGGGGCCCACAAGGAGAUGCCCCCCACAUGAUAGACGCAGGAACCCGAGGAAAACACCACGCCUCCCACUGACACGGAUGGCCUACGGGCCCCGCGUGUCGGUGGGGCGCGCAUCGCGAGGCCGGCGGUUAUGUUAAUCUCGCCCGCCCCCGUCACAGGCAAGUGCCCGCCGGAAACCGCCUGCCCAAUAAAAAGCCGCGCGCCUCUCACCCCCGCGCCCCAGCCUCCCCACCACACCACGCCGCCGCGCCUAAUCGCCAUGGACGCCGCCGGCGGAGGCGCCGUCUUGGCGGGCGGCCACGACGAGGCGGACGCCGCCUUCUUCUCCCGGCGCGGGCACCGCUGCUGCGGCUGCUUCUGGGCGCCGCCGUGGGCGGCUUCCUCCUCCCCGUCCCCGUCCCCACGAACGCGCCGCGCGGAACAGGGGGGUGACCAGGAGUGGUGGCACCGCGUCGGGGAAGGCGGGGGCGGGGCGGCGUCCUCAGGCCGGCGCCGGUGGUGGCGGCGCGGGGUGGACGCGCUGAUGAAGGUGCGAGAGUGGUCGGAGCUGGUGGCCGGCCCGCGGUGGAAGACCUUCAUCCGCCGGGUUCCGCCGCAGCAGCCCGCGCCACGGGGCCGCGGGCGGCGUUGGCGGCGGUGGGAAGCUGAACUACGACCCGCUCAGCUACGCGCUCAACUUCGACGAGGGCCACGCCGGCGGCAGCCCCGGGGGCGGCGACUACGCGGGCUACCCGCCCGACUUCUCCGCGCGCUUCGUCGCGCCGCCGCCGGGCUCCGCCAAGUCCUCCAUGGACCUCGGCGGCCGCGACGCGCCGCCGCUGUUCCUCCACCAGGCGCACUCGCCGCGCCCGCCUCCUGCCGCCGCGGCGAGGGGCUGACGUCGACGCGGCGCGCCGGCGUAACCGUCGGCUGUGGCUGCGCGUCACUAAUGGGGCGGCGGAGGCGAUAAGGGAGGAGGGGAGGCCGUCGCUUUCGUCCCCCUUGGUCGUCCGGUUGUUCUUGCUUUUUGCUUGUGGAUGGUGUCCAUAGGGAGGUUCUUGUUUAAUUUCUUUUUCAUUUUGUCUGUUUUGCUUGCAACUUUUGUAAAAUAGAUUGCUACUCUAUGUCGUCCAAAAUUGUCACUAUAGCCAUAGAAAUUGUUCAUUCUUGGAGGAAGAGAUGAGACACAAACACAGCAUCAUGGUCUAUGAUCAUCCAUGUUGAGAUACUUCCUACUCCUAUAGUAUAAGAUGUCAGUAGUAGUGCGUUAAUUUUGCUAUCUUGGUGGCUUCUGUAACUGUAACGGAAACUCUUAGGUCCCAUCUCCAUCUGAAAGGCCUUUUUAAUCUACGCUGAAUCAUGCCUGAAUUUGACCGGUUUCAUGCAAAAUUUGGUGCAUUUUCUAUUUUGUAAACGGGGAAGACUGCAACCGGGGACGUCACGACUGCAUCUGAUAUUUCAUACUGUGUUUUGAUAUUUUGCAAACAGGAAGGCUGCGACCGUGAAUCUGGGCAUUGCCGUUGCCGACAUGGCCCGUGCAAUCACAUCUCCCAUGUUGCCACGAUCCCAUGAUCUCGCACCUUGGAAUCAAUCUCGAGCACACAUGCGUGCUGGUCAUGGUCGAUCCGAUCAGGAGUCAGGACCGACCUCAGCUCCAUGCCGGGCAAGUGCCGACCUCGCCGCCGGUUAGGCAACUGGAAUUGUCUGCUGAGUCUUGGUCCAAAGGGAACGAACCUAACUGGUGUGUGCAUCGACGGCGAGACCGGCAGCCACCGUCUUCGGCUCCGGCAUCACCGCGUUCACCGCUAAAUUUUAGUAAGGUUAUAUUGGAUGUUCGGAUGCUAAUUAGGAGGAUUUAACAUGAGCUAAUUACAAAACUAAUUGCACAGAUGAGUCUAAUUCGCGAGAUGAAUCUAUUAAGAUUAAUUAAUCUAUCAUUAGCAAAUGGUUACUGUAGCACCACAUUGUCAAAUCAUGGACUAAUUAGGCUUAAUAGAUUCGUCUCGCGAAUUAGGCUCCAUAUGUACAAUUAGUUUUAUAAUUAGACUAUAUUUAAUACUCUAUGAUAGGUGCUAAACGAAACAAACUGGUGACGUGCCAACUGCCAUCUACACUGGACAGAUCAGAUCAUUAGGUCUGCAAGCAUGGCUCAAUCAUUGACGGACGGUUUCAGGGAGCGACGCAACUGAAGAAUCGAAUCCGAGAUGGGUAAUAUUCCGGCUCCUUGAUGUUAACAUUCAACCAAUCUGGUCCCCUUGCUUCAGUUCAUGCUGAUGUAAUGAUGUUAGCUUGCUACACAAACCCGUCCUCUGCUUACUGCCUUACUAGUACGUCGACAUUUUAAGCCGAAGAAGUUACCAAGAUAAGAUUGCAAGAAUGUUGGCAGUGUAAAUGUGUAAUUGCAUGUUACCCUGUAAGUUUUGUCUGAAUAUUUUCUUUGACAGAGUACUGCCGGAAUGAUUUGUGAGGCCUCGGACCCAAACGCACGGCAAAGUGUAAGCGGACAAUCAGCCAAUUAUUUGCCCUCUUUGGUUGACGAAUUGUAAUGCCAGCCAAAAGCCUGAUGUGCCACAUCGGGUUCAAGUUUAGUCCGAAUCACAUCGGACUAAAUGCUAAAAGUCUGAGGUGCUAGUACAUGAUUACCGUAGCAUCGCAUAUGCUAAUUAUGAACUAAUUAAGUUUAAUGGAUUCAUCGUGAAUUAGCUCUCAUUCGUGCAAUUAUUUUUAUCAGUAGCUUAUAUUUAAUACUUCUAAUUAGCAUUAAACAUCCCAUGUAAUCCGAACUAAACUUCGCACCCUAAACGGUACCCGUAAGGCUCUCAGUACCAUCACGCACUGACAGCACUGAGAUCAAAGAGAGGUAAGUCCAAAGGUCACGUUGACCUUCAGACAGCUCCCAGCUCUGAGAGGAAAGCUGACGAGUCAGAACAGGAAAUCAGAAACACGUACGACAACGGUCAUGACAAUUGACAACACGGCCAUUCAUUCAGUAGGCGGUAGCGUCGCGACUCGCGAGCCUCCAGUUUUUUGUUCAGAUGCUCUUGUCCGUUUCAAUCAUGCCCAAGCCUGGCCUUUACUCAUGACUCAUGAGCGCAUCUGCAUCCGAGAAGAAACAGUGGUCGUCGUAGCGCUGAAAGCCUGGCUGGAUGAAAACUGUGCGGCUGCGCCCACCUGGUUUCACGUCGAGAACAGUACUGUGAGUUUGUGACCAGCACCAGCCUUUAUCCGACCAACGGUGGGGCAUGGACCUGAAUCAAGUUUUGUUGGACCGGCCUGCAAAACAUUUGAAAUGGAACGAAUCUUUGAGGCUUGUCAAAUGCCAUGAACAUCGAAAUGGAGAUCUCAGAUGUCAGAAGGAAACAAACAAUAGCUAUUUCAAGAAUAGAUCUGGUUAUUAACAGUAACUGUUGAAUUAACAAAUGAACCUGGAUCUGUGAGCGUGAGUUGAUUCACAUCUCAGAUCAGAUCCAGGUGCAAAAUCGCCGUGUAUGUAGCCUAAGAGAUAAGACAGAUGAUGCCUGCUCAUCUGAUUUAGUGGAGUCAUUAGGUGGAGGCACUUCACAUUGUCUUAUUCAAAACUAGCCAAAAGAUGAGUGAACACAUUACAUGACACUGAACUCCACUUCACUUAGAAGCACCGUCAUUUUUUAUAUGCCAACAGCAUACUGCACACUAAAAAUUGGCCUGCCACGGGAGGGUACGGGCAAACCCACUCUUGUUCACACCCAAAUUCAAAUAAUUAUUAUCCACUUCUUACACUCCCCAAUUCCACCCAUAUCCAAUGAAUAAUUAACUUUGUAAUAUAUAUAUAUAUAUAUACAUAUUCAAUUGAUUAAUCAUACCCUCCCCAUACCCUACCCUCCCCAUUUCAAAUUUCAAAUGAGUAUAUAAUUUUUUACCCAUACCCUCCCCAUUUUCCCCAUACCCUACCCUCCCCAUUUCAAAUUUCAAAUGAGUAUAUAAUUUUUUAUCCAUACCCUCCCCAUUUAAAGAAUUUAAGGAGAAGGUAUGGAUAUCCAGUGGUAGGCCUACUGAAGAGACCUCGGUUCCACUCAGCCUGGUCACACCACCACGAGGUGCGUUAAGCUGAAGGGAGGUGAUUUUCAGUUGGAUAUAUAUGCAGAAAAGAGAGCUGACAGAGACCAAAUGGUCGCCCUUUCCACAGAGAUGGAACCCCAGCACAAAAGGUGUUAGCUCCACUUUACCAACUUGCCAGCUGAUGCCUCAGCAGCUUUGUGGAUCUUAAUUUUGAUAGACAAGGAAAUCAAAUGAUGAAGUUCAUCCUACAAAAUGGAAGUGAGCAACAAAUAAAAAAGAACCUGAGAAACACUGGUACUAUAUUAAAAUAGUACGAAUAUAGACAGACAAGUGUUAUCCGUAAAAAAAUGGACAUAAAGAAAUAAUGAAUUGUUGGUGCAUCUAUACUUUGACAAUUAUGGGCUUAUUGCUGCCCAGGAAUUUCUUUCUGCUCAUUCUAACCUUUCCCCUUCGUUUGAGUAAAGAGAUUCUUGAAAGAGAAGAUGCAAAGUAGUCUUCAAAGGAAAAGACAUUGAGAAAGAUAGCAGAUGGCUGACAGGCUAAAAGCAAAAGAAGGCCAUGUUUAGUUACUCCCAACUCCCAACUUUGACACUAUGCAAAAAGAAGAUUCCCCAUCACAUCAAACUUGCGGUACAUGCAUGGAGUACUAAAUGUAGAUGAAAUUAAAAACUAAUUGCACAGUUUUGUUGUACUUUGCGAGACGAAUCUUUUGAGCCUAAUUAGUCAAUAUUUGGACAAUAAUUCACAAAUACAAACGAAACGCUACAGUGUGCUACAGUGCUGUAACAGUAAUUUGGCACCUCCCAAAUUCCCCAACUAAACACGGCCGAAAUAUGCUCAAUCCGAGAGCGCAGACUCAAUCAUUAGAAUUUCCUGUACAUGUCAAUCACUGUGCUCACCAGAAGGGUGAAGGCGGGAAUAUCACGAAUCCAUCGCCUAGCUGCAUGAAUUCAAAAUUUAUGAUGCUCCUACCUGAGCCUCAAAUCUAAAACAAGGGCAAAAACAAUGGAUGUUGUGCUGCGUAACAGUCUUCAAACUCACAAAACAUACAUGAAUUCAGGACCGCGAAGUGGGCAUCAGUUACUUCAUUAGAGCUUCCAUGGCUGAAAACAGGUCAGAGAAACACAAGAACAAUGAUCCAAUAUAUGAAACAUCCUCAUUAUCAUAUAAGGCAAUAACAUUAAGGUGAAUAACAUUAAGCUUAGCUUCAGUGAUUGAAAAGCAUUUUAGCGGCAACACGUAUUUUCCAUGGAAAAAUAACAGAUCUGCCAAGUGCAUCCAAGUAUGGCUGUAUGAGAAUAUAGAACUAGAAUGCCAGAGAUAAGAUAAAGAUGCCAAUUCUUUCUAUUACUGCAUGAACAGUUAAUGAUGGUUCGUAAUAGCAGCUCAUAAUAGUAACAUAUAUGUCUUCCCAUGUGUUUCGAUCAACGGAUGUCAAGACUGGAGAAGGUAUAGGUCAAUGUCAACUAUACUCUGAUCAGCACAUCAGAAAUUGCAGAGAUAUAAAUUGCAGCAUCAGAUCAACACAAAAUAUAUGGCAGGCCAGAAUAACAUCAUUCUAAGUGAUUGGAAUCUACAUGGUGCAACAUACUAAGCUGGCAUGACUACCAAAAGUUAAGCCCCCAAUGAGAUUGACACUCCAAUCAAAAUCAGCAUAUGAAAAUUAGGCAAGAAAAAUGACUACAGGUGAGGAAUUGAGUGAUCAUCUCUAAUAAAAAGAAACAUUAGCUACUAUCAAAGUACACUAGUACAGAGUCAUAUGUUUGAUGUAUCCGCGGCACCUCCUCUCUUCAUCCAUGGAAGGCUCCCGGCAUCCGAACAUUCAUCCGAACCAGCAGGUAGCUUGCCCUUCAGAUUAGACCAUUGCCAAAUCUUUGACACGGAGAAACUUUCCCCUUUGUUCCUCGCACAGAUCUUCUUCCCCUCCAUAAUAUCAGCAUUGAUUGAACUUAAACCAGCAGGUCUUCCCCUCAUCGCACCACCAGCACCAUUCCUAUUCCAGCCAGGCUGGAGAGCUACCCGGAGCUCAGAAGUGCCAAGAACAUACUGAUAGGUGCCCAUGGAGAAGCAUCUCCUUCCAUCCAGGCUGCUGCUGCUGCUCUCCCCUUGAUCCCUACUCAACACACUGGCAUUGACGUCAGCAUUGCCACCUUGCACGGGACCCUGUGUUCCGACAUUCUUGAACUUCCCCAGCCUCACGGGGAACACCCUCUUCUCAGCCACCGGCGUCUGUGCCAGCCCUGAAGCCUUCUGCCCAGGCAAUCCAAACCCGUCGUCGCAGUCCUCCGACAGCCUCCCUUCCUCCAGCCUCUCCUCGAAGUCGAACAUGGUGUCGUCCUCGCCCAUGAGCCCAGGGACGAAGAGCACCCCGCGGCAGAGCGGGCAGGUGGAGUUGGAGAGCAGCCACGUGUCGAUGCAGUUGAGGUGGAAGGCGUGGCCGCAGAGCGGCAGCAGCCGGAGCCGGUCCUCGGCGUCGAACUCGCACAGGCACACCGCGCAGUCGAACGGCUCCUUGUCGCCGUCGCCGCCGCCGCCCACGACGAUCUCCCGGUAGGCGAAGACGGGCAGCGCGUCGAUGAAGGCCUGGUCCAGCCCGGAGUCGUGGAGGUGGAACAGCUGCUGCAGCUGCCGCUGCAGCGCCGCAUCCGCCCCGCCGGCGUCCCCUCCCGAGACCCGCGCCGCCGCCGGGGCCCCUCGGCCGCCGCCGCGGCGGUGCUGCUUCUUCAUGAGGACGCGCACCAGGAGGUGGAGCAGGCCGGAGAUGAAGAACACCACGGCGAGAAUCACGAUGAUGAAGAGCACCGCGGGGCUAAUCUUCCCUCCUCCUCCGCCUCCCCCACCCCCGCCCGGCGUCUGCUGCGCCACCACCGGCGGCAGUUGCGGCUGGGGCGGCGGCGGCGGGGCGGCGAGGGUACCGUACGGGAGCGCGUCCCUGACGACGCGGGCGCCAUGGAGGCGGCGAGGGGCGAAGGAUCCCGCGGACGAGGACGAAGAAGAGGCCGCCGCUUCAGCCAUGCGUGCUAGGAGCUCGGACUGCGAGACCGCCCCCGCAUCUCAUCGGAUCCCCCGGCGGGCCAGAGAUGCGAUCUUCGGGGGGAAGGAACCCAGCGAUCCCCGCCGUCUGGACAAGAUGCGGAAGUCGCACCUAAAAGCGGCGGCCCGGGAAGACGACGAGGAGCUAGGGGCCAACGAGGCCUGAAACCCUCGGGACGGGAGCUUUCGGCUUGGAGCAGGCGGGCGAGCGAUGCCGCGGAGGGGAGGGAGGGAGGGAGGGGAAGAGGUGGGGGGGGGUAGCCGGGUAGGAAUUGGGUGGAGGGGUUCGGCGGCCAGGCCAGGCCACUGUGGCGAGUGGCGAGCCGGGGUGGGGAGCGGGGAGUGGUGGAAGCGCACGAGCUGGGGCGGCGAAAGCGACGGCAGCCAGAAAGAAUGGUGCGGUGGCGGCUCGGUGGCUUUUGGGUUUGGGAGUUUUCGCGGUGCGUGCGCGUCGCUUUCGGCCGCGGGGGCGAGGAGCUCGUUCACAGGCAGAGCGGCCGGUCUCGCUCGCAUACGCGCGGGGCGCGAUGUCAGUGACGUCAGCAGUGGAGCACGGGGCUCGUGGGCGCGUAACGUGAGAGCGUGACCGCCCGCCUGACCGGCUGGGUGCCGCGACGGCCGACUGCGAUUUGGGUUUCGGCCCUUGGGAGGGCUGGUGCUGGUUCACUCUAACCUUUCUCCAAUUUUAGCGAGAUUGUUUAAAAAAAACUCUAACGAGAUUAGGGUUAGGGUUAGUAAAGAUACUUAUUUUAGCGAGCUCUCAUUUCUUAUUUCGGGUUAGAUUCUUUCUCCCUCUCCUUUGAUUUUGGUUUUGGAGGGGAAAAUAUCAAUAUAGAAGCGGUAGCCUAGCCCCGCGUAUGAUAGCGGAUGCAAGAGUUUAUGACGAGAUAGCGGAGAUAGGGAGAGUAUGACAAGAUGGCAAGGCAACCAUCAAUGAGUAUAAUAUUGAUAUCUUAUGUUCUUGACUUAACAUAGUUAAUAUAAUAAAUAUGGUGGUGAGAGUUGCCAAGGUUAGAGUAGGAAAACAAUCUAGGACCAUCCGCGUGGUGGAGAUGCUUGUCAGAGAGAGAGAGAGAGUGGAGGCGUUGGGAUGGAAAAAAAAUGUAGGAAGAAUAAGGAAGACUAGCUAAGUGCUGAAUUUUAACCUAGUACCCUCAAGUUUUAGCUAUUUGGUGGACCCAAACAACAAAACGAUCAUAAAUAACUUUCCUAAAUUAAAAGCCUAUAAAUGAUAAGUAGGUUAAAAAUAUACAUGAAUACAUCCCUUGGUUACUCAUGAUCAUAGUUUGAGAUGUUAUUUUAUGAGUGAAAGGAUCUAGAAUGUUGACUAGAGGGGUGAAUAGUCCAACCUGAAAAUUUUUCACAACUUCGAAUAAGCUUAUCAACAACUUUCGGAGUUUACGGAGAUUGUUCCAGAAAUUCUGCAACUUGCGGAAUUUCCGGAGAAAUACAACUUUGAACUACGACCUUAUGCAAGCCUUGCUCAAAUAUAAAUCGCCAUAUAUAGGUUAAGCAACAGGAUAUUCUAGGUCUUUGGCACAAGAUAGAAUAGCUGGAAACUUUCUAGAAAAGUAGAUCAAGCACAAACCCUAGAAAUAUGUUGUAUGCUUGAAUAUGAACAAAAUUAAGAACAACAAGCACAAGAGACCCAAGGAUUUGUUUACCAGAGUUCAGCUUCACACCUUGAAGCCUACGUCUCCGUUGAGGACCCACAAAGGAUGAGCUUUUCACACCUAAGCCACUUUCCUUACUCUAACGACCACAAAGAUCAAGCUAGAGUCAUUUACUCAAUUGUCGGGGUAAUACAACUUUCCGUAGGCAACCACAACCUUGGAUGCUCCACGAGCAACGCCUAGCCGGCUAGAAGCUUGAAGCUCCAAGAGUAACGAAAGCGAAAUCACCAGCUUGACGAAGAAUAAGGUGCUCUUCCGGAACAUUUUCCGGAAACUCUGGUCCUCCAGAAACUUCCGGAAUAUUUUUCGAAAACUUUGGAAUCUCCGAAAUAUUCCGGAACAAUCUUCAGAAAAAUCUGGAGCUCUCAUGUUAGGACCAUUCUAAGUAUCCUCAUGUGAUGUGCAGGUGCAAAGGUGUCUCUAAUAGGUUGGUUAGAUCAUCUUGAGCAUCUUUUUCAACAUAAAGACCAAUGGCUACACAUCUCUCUUAAUAGUGCGGCAUUCCUAUACUCCAAUCCAAACCAUAAAUAAAUUUAGCCUUCAAGCCCUCUAUCUAUUCAUUUCCUUUUUUAGGGGUCAGUCAUAAGUACUCCAUGUCCAUCAUUCCUUUUAAACCUGCUUAUGCACUUGAAAGUUCAUUAGACUUAAGCUUGCAUCAUUAAUCCACAAAAAAUCACUUAGGGGGUCAAGAUACUCUUCAAUGAGUAAAUUGCAUCCGCGAUACAACAACUUUGUAGGUGGGUGCAAAUGAACAACUUGUAAAUGCUUAAUUUAGAAUAAUAACUUGAUAGGUGGGUUAAUAUUGGUCCAACAACUUGUAAAAUUCUCAUUUUGACUGGUAACUUAGCAAAUUGGUGCACCUACAGUCCAAACCGACAACUUAUUAAACAAAGUAUAUUCCCGCAAUAAUUCUUAAUUUUUAUCAAUAAUUUUUUUUGAUAGUGAUCAGACCAUUGCUUCUCAACUAUGCACAUAACCUAUUAUUUGUUGAUUAGUUAAAAUUGAAUCAAAUUUUAGAAUUACGCCAUUGUUAUUACUAAAAUACUACUAGAGUCCAUAAGCGAGACCAUGUGGACCUUAUGUUUUUUUUUUUUGCCCUUCUGCUCAUGUAUUCAACAACUACAUGGAAGCACAUUUGUUUAUGUUAUUUUAUCAAUUUUUUUCUUUUUAAACAAGUACGUGAUGCUUUAGAAAAUACAUAUGCAAAAUUCCUAAAUGAUAUUAUUAGUAUGUAUUAACAUAUUAGCUUUUUUAUAGCUUAACAAUGCAAUAUAAUCAAACCUGUAAAAAAACAGUGAGGGUGAACUUAUCAAUAUUGAAUAUGAAAUUAAAUAGUCCUAGUCAAAUUAAAUCACUGUAUAAAAAUAAUUAAUAUGAAGAUAUAUUAUUAAUUUUCUAAACACAAGGUUUUAGUCUUGCCAAAUACAUUGUCACUGUGACAGGAAUAUCAAUGGUAAAAUAAUGUUUAAUAAUUUAUUCCAACACGAAUAUAUAUCUUAACCUGACAUUAGCAAAUAUUCGCUCAUUAUAACAUUUGGACUGCAGAUGCACUAAUUUACCAAGUUAUUGCACUAAUUUAAGCAUUUUGCAAGUUUUUGGACUAAUCUGCAUCCAUUUGUAAAGUUAUUGUACAAGAUUGUACCAAUUUGCACCCACCUGACAAGUUUGUUGUGUGGUAUGGUGGUUGCAAUUUACUCUUAUUUUAUUUGCAAACUACUUACUGGAAAGUUUGAGACCUAAAUUUAGCUUCUCCUCUUGCACUUAGCUUGUUAUGGAUGCAGGGCUUAAGUUUGAAGAAAGUAGCGCACUGACAAAUUCCGGUAGCGUUACCGGCAGCUCAAUUAGCCAAUGGCGCAUGAAUGUAUGGGAGAAGCCUAGAAGUUUGCCGGUGGCAAAGAGCACUGUUCGUGGAUUAUGGGGGUUGACUGGCUCAGCCACGGUCCACUGUGCCGCAACAAGAAUGGACUUGGACCAACCAAAUCCAAGCUGCAGCCUACGCCUUUCAAAAGGCCUGCUUUUCAAAGGAAAUGGGUGAGAAUUUCACUCUACAUCGACAUAUCAAAAGCAGACCUGAAUUUCACCGGGAAUUUCUGAAAAGCUGUAAGCAGUGACCUAUGUGCCAAGGGCGGACCUUCUGCAAAAGCCUAUCUGUCCAUAGCGAUGGUUGGUAAUGGCAGCCGGUCGGUGCAUAUAUGGUUUAGGCCACAACUGUAUUGUGACCGAAACCCGUCAGUUCAAGCUCAAAUGGCCUUACUGAUGUUCGUCAUCAUGACCGCUUUUCACGAAAUCUACAGCGUCAUCUAACAGAACUGGCCGAAUUCAUGAAUGCAGGUCAAACUGUUUUACAUGAAUUCGAGAUGCCUGCGUCACGGACGGGAGCAACAGAUAAAAUACACAGCAGAUCCGCGGCAUUUUCUUCUUCUUUUCGUGACGCUGGCAGGUCAGCAGUUGUUGUUUAACAAAAAGGUGGGUGUCCUUGAAUCUCACCGGCCAAUGGGCACGGACAAGGACAGGCCGGCCAAGCCCGUCCAUGGGCCAAGGCCAUGUGAUACCCAGUUAAAACUAAGCGCAACUAUGCAAAGCGCCACCGCGACGCUGCACCCACCGGCCACCGCACGGUAAAUUGACCCUGGUUUCGCACGCGUACGCCGACGCCGUUCGCACACCGCACGGUGGCCGGCGGUGUCUGGUAGCCGCCGUGCAUGCUUGGUAAAUUGACCCAACCCCUCGUCUGUCACCAAUGAUAGAAAGAGCUGACCCCAAGAGCACAGCACCAAUCAACAAUGCAAAUAGAUCAGCAAGAUGUGGACUGGAGAAUACACAAACAGAAGACAUGGCAGGAUGAGGGAUAGUAGAACUAUAUAGGUGACAGGGAUACAUCUGAAACAAAUCAUAUCGUUAACCAGAGUCCCAAACUCUUGAUUGCAUUUUUCGAUAAGUUCACGAUCGCAGGUUCAGAGCCACCACUUCCCAGGCUAAGUUACGUUUUCUCCGCGUUUAUCAGCAAAUUCAGUCAUGCAAUGAUAUGCCAAACAGUUUGGCGGGUGGAUUGAGCAGGAGUGCCAACAUCAGGUCCUGGGCAUCAUAUAGACCGAGAUGAAUCAUGUUUGUACAGCCCAACCAUUGCUUGGUGGAGAACGGAGCCUCCCCAUCGUCGUUCACUUCUUGCGCUGAACGAAUCCGUUCUCGGUCAGGUACUCCACAAACUCAUCUAUGAGGUAGGGCCAAGCACCUUCGUCGUCGUAGUUGGAUAGCUGUGGAUCGAUUGUCUGCAAGAAAACAAAAUUUAAUAAUUUGCAAAAAAGAGAGGAAAACUAAGCAAAUCAUGGAAGCCCCUAGAGCCUAAAAGGAGACACAAUGACAAGGAACAAGACUGCAGGUUGCUUAUGAACGACUUAUUAGCUGUUCAAAGCUUUAGCUUAACUAGUUCGACCUCAGAAAUGCAGAUUGCAGGCCUAGAUGUCAGCUACAGUCGAACCACCUCAAUUGGACGGAUUUACCUCUUAAUAAUCUCAAUCACAUUUAUCUGCUAGACUGGCGUCAUAAGCAGGGGUUCUAAAUGCUCUAGCAUUCACACUGGGCAUCUAUGUUAACCACAGGCCACAACAGGAGUUCCAUAUACAAGGAAAGGGAGGUAAAAUGGACACAAGUACCUUUACAAAUUCCAGCAGCUGGGCCCAUGUGUCUCUAGAUAUGGCUUUAUUGUGCCUAACCUGAAAUUGGAAGAACUCAAGAUGAGCAACACUGAUGCAGGACGCCAUAGACUUUGAGAAUGAGAGUAGUGGAGCCACCUGACUUCAGUUAUACCUGUAAAAACUGGCACCAAUGAUCCAGAAGAGGCCAGUUCCUUUCAGCAAAUAGCAACUGCCACAUUCCAAUAGCAGUCUCCAGUGAGAGAGACUUUUGACCCUGUCAAAUAAGGGAAUGUGAUAAAAAAGAUGCAUAGAAAAUAUCAGCAUAUGUAUACUAUUUUAUGAAGAAAAAACUGCCAACAGCCAAUAGAUAUGAAUAGCCACUGUGUCUACUGGAUAAAAUAUUCUGCAGUUAAGGCUAACCUUUUCCCUUGCCCAAGUGAACGCGAAGUUGUAGAUCUCACGAAACUUAUCUGGGUGAGAAAAGUGUAAACACACAGGUUGGAUAUGGAAAAGAAAAGGAACUCAUUUCACUCUACACAUCUAAUUCUAAAGAAAAGGAAACCCUUUGCCAUGAAUGCAGACUUUCUACGCAUUGCAGAAUAACUUUCUGAACUAACAAGAGGCCACAUCUAAACUCCAAUAGUAGAGAAGUUUUCCUUGAAAAAAAGGAAACUCACUGUCAUCUUUUAGCUCAGCUCGUAAUGAUGGUAACUUUCCACGAAAUUUCUCAAUUGAAUCUACCCUGCAAAUAACAACUAAACUUAUUAAAAGAAUUAUAUGAAUGAUCGAUUCAGGAUCCUGAUCAACUUCAUAUUGGAAUAUAACGAUUGCCAACAGCACUCACCCAAUUGACUGCAGUCCACCAAUGAAUUCCUGGCGAGUAAAUUCACACAUUGUGGCGGCUUUCAUGUGCCACGAUAUGACAAGCUGUUAACAGCACACAGAACUAUAUAACUAAGAGUAAUAAUGAUCCAAAGAUAGCAGUGUCAAAUUAAAUAGAUAGAAUAAGCAUUAAGAAACUCAAGCAGGGAGAAAACGUCUCCUUUGCUUUGUCUUAAGACAGGGGACUACCAAACCCAUUUUGAGAUGUACUCACACAACCUGAGAGCAACCUGGUAUGAGCCUGGAUGGGCAGCCUCUCAACUGGAGGCUCUACCACAAGGUUUUUACAGGUAGAAAAAGCAUAUCAUUGUAAACUUAAUUUUUUCUGUGCAAGCACUACAUGCAACACAAACAGAACCGAAUCUAACACUGGUGGACCAGAUUACACUACUAUAUCUUCCACAGAACUAAUUCGCAAAAAACUUUAAUAAAAGGUCAGCUCAGAAGAAGCUAAGCACAUACCAUGACAAUAUCCUGAGGAUCCACCUGUGAAAUAAAGAUGAAAUACAUGCAUCAGCAAUAUAUAGAAAGUUGGUACCAAAAAUAGGCAAUAUAAUGUACUAAACAAAAGGCACAUUUUACAAGCACUUUCCCCGUGACAAAAUAAAUGGAAAGCCAUAUAAAUAAAAGAAAUUUGUGCUUUAAAAACCCCCCAUGAAAUAUAGACAAUAGUAAAUGGACAUUACAAACUCAAAUCACAUAUCAUAAUCCAGUAUAGAUCAUCUGCUAGAGACAAGCACAAAGCGAUGAACCAAUAAGCCAACAUAUACAAACUAUAAAGCCAAUCAAAUCCAAAUUUGAGUAAAUCUGAUCGGUGUCAACAAAAACAAUACUAUGCUAGUAUAAUCUAUCUCUUCCACAACAUUCAAAUAAACCAUAAUAAUUGAAACAAAAUCAAAUCCUUUUCCAAUGCAUAGAUGUCUGCUAAACUGCUAAAAUAAGUAGCACAUCCUAUUGCAUAAAUAAAUAUGCUGCCUGGGGUUCAUGCUAAUUGAAAAUUCCUAGCCUGAGUAUGUAGAUUGGCACAAGAAAUUGGUAUAGCUGAAUCUAUCAUGGAUAUAGUUUCAGAAUAGUAUCUUUUUAAAAAAUAUAUAAAAACAUUUAAGAUAGCAAAUAACAUCAAAAUGCUACCUCAGAGACCAUGUAAAUGUCCCAAUUUCAUUUUCUAUUUGCAAUAAAAUGGAGUACGCACUACAUAUGCCAAGAAGCGGAAAUCAAGUGAGUAAAAAGUGAAUGUAUAUUUACAGAUGAAAAUAGCUCUCCUCACCUGCAGAUCAUUGCAAAGUUGAGAUACUCCCUCCACCAUGAUCAUAUCAGCAUCAGGUUCUGCCAACAAAAAUAAAAAUACACUGUGAAAUCCUAAUUUGAACAAAAAAUCACAACAGGGCAGAGAAACGAAGAAUAGGAUUAAUGUAUGUGUUACGGACAUUGUAGUACUUCAUACUGCAUAACAGCUUGGGAACAUCCAAAUGUAUCAGGUAAGGCAAUGGAAAUGGUUACCUUUGUAUCUAUUGAAAAUGUCUUCAAGGUGCCGAGUAUUGACCGCAGAAAUCUGAGGCUGGCUAUAGAAGAAGUCAAAAGCUCCUUCCAAGUGCCAAUCACUAGCUUUCAGUGCCUGAAGGGCAACCUUCUCACUGCAUCGGAUGACAAAAAUUGAUUACAAAAUUUGUGAUAAAUGAACUUCAAUCUCCAUUAGUUGAACAUACACCAUUUCUCAAUUCAGAAAUGAUGUUUGGAGCCAUGGGGCAACCAUGUAUUUUGUAUUCCUGAUUUUAAUGCCUUAUGCACCGAAAUUGAAGUUUGCCUAAAGAGACAUCAUUUCAGAAUUGCCAGCUAUCGAAAUUCAUCUAGCCAACUAGAUAUCUAUAAAUUGUAGAGGAACCACAAUAAGUGAUGUUAUAGCGCCAACAUAAAUAAUUAUUUAUUAAAAACAAGAUGUCAAGGCACCAAGUACACUUGAAAUUUGUAUUCCGAAGCUAGUAAGAUUCCUAGCAAGUAUAUGCCUACAGGAGAUAAGAUGAAAUACAAAACAAUGCAGACAGAAACAACACAGGCUCCCUGUAUGGGAACUGGAUACAAGGUACACGGACCAGAACAGGUACCAAAUUUUGGAACAUCGAUAUUAUGGUAAGCACUAAAAUCCAUCUUAGAUCAGAACAAGCAUAUCAUACAUGGAUCGGCAGCAAGUGUAUUGCAAUUUGAAGAUGAGAAUGCACAGUAUCAUUAAGAUUUCGACCAACACAUCAACCAUUUAACCACCUAACCAUGUAACCAAGCUACUAGCAACCUUGCAAAUGACCACAAUAAUUCGAGACCCUAGAGUCCACAUACAAAAUAAAAUUCCAGCACCAAUCACAUAGCCUUACCUGGCGCCAGUUAUGGUCAUGAACUGCUGCACCUUGUCGCGGUUUCCUCUCCCCAGCUUAUACUGCACAGCGCGCGCGCACAUAGCACCCAAAUCAGCAAUAUUAUCUUUUGAAAAAUAGGUCAGAUUCCAACACUUCGCACAUCAGAUUAUACAAGUUAACCCACGAAUCGAAACCGUGAAGGGACAAAAGAACCUCGACGGCAGCGAUUCCCGCACGGGCCGAUUCAGAUACCCAAAAAUCUAACAAAAAGUGGGGAGGAGAUCGGGGGGAAUAGCACGACCAGGAUAGGUGAUGGGGGUAGAGACUCGAGACUCACCAUCUUGGAUCGGAGCGCGAGGAGGACGCCGGGGAGGGGAGGGGAGGGGGCGGCGCUAGGUGGGGUUUCGCCGUGAAGCUUGAGCUCUUGGCCUCUAGCGCUCUCUCGCCGCCUCGCCCUCCUUUUUAUUCCCCCUCUCCUUCUCUCUCUCUCUCCCUCUCUCGCUGUGAAUGAAUGCCGAGUUCUAAUCCAGCGUAAUGUUAAAAAAAAAAACUCUAAUCCAGCGUGGCGUGUGUACGCAGACGAAGACCCGGCCCGUGCCGAGGAGCGGAAUGACC